GCCCUUCCACCAUGUGAGUAUACAGAGAGAAGGUAUGAUCCAUGGAUCAGGAAACCAGCCUUCCCUAGACAUGGAAUCUGCUGGCACCUUGAUUUUGAACUUCCCAGACUCCAGAACUGUGAGAAAUAAAUUUCUGUUGUUUAUAAGCUACACAGUUUAUGGUAUUUUGUUACAGCAGCCUAAACAGAACAAGACAGUAAGUGGCAAAGAGAUAGCAAUGUGUUAACUGUUUUGAUUGAAAUUGAAUGGUAAACCAAGUUGUAUGCAUCACAGAACAGGAGUAAAAAGACAAGCCUAAGAAGGGUCUUUGCUUUCUUCCUUUUUUUUUAGAGUCAGAGUCUUGCUCUGUUGCCCAGGUUGGAGUGCAGUAAUACCGUCAUGGCUGACUUGCACCUCAAACUUCUGAGCUCAAGCAAUCUUCCUGCCUCAGCUUCCCAAGUAGCUGGAACUACAACUGCAAGCCACUAUGCUCAGUUGUUUUUUAUUUUUUAUUUUUAUAUUUGUUUAUUUAUUUAUUUAUUUUUGAGACGGAGUUUUGCUCUGUUACGCAGGCUGGAGUGCAGUGGCACAAUCUCGGCUCACUGCAAGCUCUGCCUCCCGGGUUCAUGCCAUUCUCCUGCCUCAGCCUCCCGAGUAGCUGGGACGACAGGCACCCACCACUAUGCCCAGCUAAUGUUUUUGUAUUUUUAGUAGAGACGGGGUUGUUUUUGUUUUUUUAGAGACAGGAUCUUGCUAUGUUUAUCAGGCUGGUCUCAAACUCCAAGCCUCAAGUGAUCUUCCUGAGUCAGUGCCAUUAUAGGCAUGAGCUACUAUGUCUGGCUCCAGGUCUUAAAGUGUGAGUAUGAAUUCCUGGGGGAUUAAGAGGAAAGGCAUUCCUGGAAGCAGAUAUAUAGGAUGGUAUGGGGAAAGGUUUGCAUGACACACUUAGGCAAUAGGAAGCAGUUUUACAUGAUUCAGCACACAAGAUAUUAAUGAAGAUAAAGAAAAAGAUUGGUUGAUUUUACAGAGACGUUGGUGUAAUAUGCUAAGAAAGCUCAUAUUAUCAUGAGGAUAAUAGAACUGCUGAAACAGUUCAGGUGGAAGAAAACUUAUUCCUUAAGAGAAUUAUGAAAAAUAAGGUAUUCUUAAAUUGGCAAUCCAUUUGUGACCCCUAGUGCCAAUGGUGGCUUCUAACAUCUAUUCCCAUUUCACAGUGUCUUGCUGUGCAUUGAUUCUCAUCCUUAAGUUCUCAUCAUCCCCAGUAUCACCUGGGAACAGUUAAAAACCUUAAUGACCCAAAUCUACUCCAUUCCAGUGAAUUCAAAAUUUCUAGAACUGAGACCUAGACAUCAAAAAUAUCUUAAAGCUUCCAGGUUAUACCAACUACAGCCAAAGUUGAGAACUGCUAACCUAGUGGUGUGCUGGCAAGAAGAGCAUGAGACCACUCUAGUGUAUACCCUGCUAAGUCUCAGCUCUCCUAUGCCAUCCUUUAGGAUAUACACUGAAUCCCUUUUCUGUCAGGUUUCAGUCUAUAUUUCUAAAAAAGGACUUCCUUGAGAAUGGUAUUGGAGUUCACUUCCUCAAAUAGAUCAGAAUUUAUUGUUGGAGGCAGAAAAAUUAGCUAAGUGUUACAAUACUGUAAGAUAGUUACUCUGGUGUUAGUCUUUGCACAGAUUGCUGUGGAAGAGACACUUACAUUCAGAGAGGCAAGGGGAGGUGAAGUGUGUAGGAAGAGAAGCACUGAGGCAGAGUACAGGGUCCCAGGGAUGAAGGACAAGAGGAUUAUUUUAGGUGGCGGGAUCAGAAUGUGUAAGGCACAAAGGCAUCAAAGAACAUGGCAAAGACUCAGGGUUCUCCCGGCACUUUGUUCAUAGUAUUUGUAGUAUAGUCCCCACAUUGUUGUGUCCAGUUCAUUGUAUACAGAUUUAGUACUAUUUCUAUCCUAUGAGGACUUUGAGGGUACAUAUGCCCAGAACACAGACAGCAUGGCAGCAUGGUCCUUGCUAUAUAAUAGCCUCUCAUGAAUUAACCUGUUUUGCAGGGGGGAAACAAAGAAAGAUUUAAUACAGAAUUCAGUCAGACAGAAGGUUGGAAAUAACUAGCUUGAAUAUCAUGAACUGACUUAAAGAUUAAAAAAAAGGAACAUAAAUAUUCAUGGGAAAAAGAUGAAUUGAAACCAGAAGUUUCUCAUGAAUGUCAUACCAGCUUAAAUGUCUGAGUAGUGUCCAAAUGAAAUGCAGUGACUUCCUUUUGGUCAACAUCCUAAUCAAUAUGAUCAGGUCUCUCAAAUUGUAUCCCAUACUUCGAAGUCACACUUUGAUUCAUAGGGAAUUUCCAUUCUUCCUUACAGCUGUUGAGAGGGGAGUUCUAACAAGAGGAAGUAGCUCUGUGCACCUUCCUCACUUCCUUCCUGGCUGUGUCAUUCCUGGGUCUGGGUCACCAGCUGCAUCCAGGAGUCCCAGAGGGUGUCGUGAAUGUUACUCACAGUGUAAAUGGAUCUAGAACACAACUUACUUAGAGCCAUAUCUUCUAGUUUUGAUUUGUGUUAGAAGUGAUCACAAAGUCGUUUAAACUUAAAUGACACUGUCGAAACUGACAUCAGUGAAAAGUAUUUAUUAUAAACGUGUUCAUUGUAUAUCUUAAUUUCAAGGCUCUUACCGUUUUCUGUGCUUA
rnacentral:lncRNA from 1 species